AAUGUCAGGACUUCUUUUGCACCAGACUUUGUCUUCUACCUAUAGUGCUUUAAAGAGCUUAGGCUCUUUCCUGGGUGCUGAUGGUGUAUGUGUGUGUGUGUGUGUGUGUGUGUGUGUGUGUGUGUGCUGAAGGAAAGGUCUGGAAGGAAGGUGCUGGUCCCUGGGUUCUGGACAGUUAUGGCACAGGAAAGAGAGGGGGAAAGGAAGGGAAGUUAAAAAGGCAGAGGGCCAUCCCAAGCAGUCACAGUCUGGAGAGGAUCCUCAGAAAGAGGACAUGCGAGUAAAAGAUAAAGUCAUGGAGUUCUCUGUCUGUGGAAGUGGAAUGUUCCUCCUGCUGAUCCUUGUAGGAACAGAGAUACAGUCUACUGCUGUACAGAAGAACCGCUGUGACAGGACCAUGGAAGUGAUGACAAAGUCAGCGUGCCAUUUGUGCUACAUAAGUAAAUUAAUGAACUGUCCAGAAGGCUAUAGCAAGAAGACGUCCGGCAAGGGGCAGCAGGACUGCAGGUAUUUACAAACCUCGUCCACGUAUGUUCUCUCAUUCCCUGGCUGCUCACACAAAUGUUUCAAAGAUGUGGUGGAAGAACAAUGCUGCUCAGGGUACUGGGGCUACGACUGUCUCGAGUGUCCAGGGUCAGCAGCUACUCCAUGCAAUAAUAACGGGGUUUGCUCUGAUGGCAUUGGGGGCUCCGGGAAUUGCACUUGUAAAGUAGGAUUUGAGGGAACAGCGUGUGAGAAAUGUGAAGAGAACCGGUAUGGACCCACAUGCAGCAAUGUGUGCACCUGUAAGCAUGGCCUCUGUAACAGUGGACUGAGAGGGAACGGACAGUGCACCUGUUUUUCAGGAUACACAGGGCCAGACUGUGACCAGGAACUCCCAGGUUGUGCUGAUCUGCGCUGUGGACCUGACGCACGCUGUUUUGAAGACACGACUUUUGGAAAACUAGUGUGCAAAUGCCAACCUGGUUAUUUUGGUGAUGGAGUUCAGUGUACCUCGAUUAAUCCAUGUCAGAAGCGUGUGUGUCACGAGCAUGCGGUGUGUGUGCACACUGGACCGAACCGACACACAUGCACAUGUGCAGAAGGCUAUCAGGGAGAUGGGCUGGUGUGUCUGCCCAUUGAUCCCUGUCAAACUGACUACGGUGGCUGCCAAAGCAACUCCGAGCGAUGUGUGUAUGAUGGACCUGGGAAGGCUCACUGUGAAUGUUUAGAAGGCUUUGAGAAGUUAGUCAUGGGAGUGGGCUGCAGUCUGAGAGAUGCGUGUAAACCAGACUCCUGCCAUAUGAAUGCCUAUUGUACUACAGUGGCACCAGAAACAGUGGAGUGUACAUGUCAAGUCGGAUACCUUGGCAAUGGAAAAGUCUGCUUUGGCAACAUAAUCCAGCGUCUGCAAGAACUCAACACAGACCCGAAGAGCCAGUCAUACGGUCAGCUCUCGAGUGCCAUCAGCCUGUUUGAGGGCGUCAUGUCUUGGCCUCUGACCUCACUUGGACCAUUCACUGUGUUUGUGCCAAAGAACAGGGCUUUCAAAUCAACUCAACCUGUGAAAACUCUGCUGGCAGAUCAGGCGAAGGCUCGAUAUCUCGUAAAGAUGCACAUGAUCCCUGGAGAAGUGAACACUGAUACACUGAAGAACGGUAUACUCUAUUACACUCUGACUGGGAAAUCAGCUGAGUCAAUAACUGAGUCAGGGCAGGUGAAGAUCCGCAUCCAUGGCAGUCGUAAAAAAGCUGUGCUGUUGCAGUCGGAUAUUAUCUCUACAAACGGGGUGAUCCACAUCAUUGAUAAACUUCUGGACACAGUCCCUUCUACUGUAAUAAGCGACAGUCAGGAAAACCUGAUGAAAAUUCUGUCAGACAACGGCAAGUUCUCCAUAUUUAAGUCUUUAAUCGAGAAAACCAACAUGGUGGAUGUUUUGGAUAAGGAUGGUCCCUACACACUGUUUGCUCCCACAAAUUCAGCAUUUACUUUAAUGAAGGACAUCGAGCUAAACUACCUUAAAUCUGAGGAGGGUAAAUCCAAACUACUGGAAUUUUUGCGAAACCAUGUUAUAGCCUCGGCCCAGCUGAAAGCCAGCUACAUCGUAUCCAUCUCACAAACCGUAUCCAUGGCUAAUCAAGUUCUGACAAUUAAUGUGACUGCUGCAGGUCAAAUCCUGGUCAGUGAGGUAGCAGUAGCUGAGGCAGAUGUUGAGGCAAAGAACGGAUGUCUGUAUUCACUGGUGGGUGUUUUAAUCCCGCCAUCCAUAGAGCCCAUUCUUCCGCAUCGAUGUGACGUGACAGAAAGUAACGUUUAUAAGAGUCCAUGUGCCAGUUGUAUGUCAGUCGCCAUGGCUACCUGCCCAACCGGCGUGUCACUGAACACAACUUCAACAGGCUGUGUGUACAGUAAGAAAACUUUUGGCCUCGAUGUUCCUGUUCUAGGCUGCAGUCUGUUCUGCAACGAGACCCGUACUACCCCUCAGUGCUGUAAAGGCUUUUAUGGAGCAGACUGUUCUCCUUGUCCUGGUGGUUUCAGUGCCCCAUGCUCCUCUAAUGGCAAGUGUUUGGACGGUAUAGAUGGCAACGGCACGUGUCAGUGUCAGCCCAACUUCAAAGGGUGGCGAUGUCAGUACUGCGCCGACCCCAACAAAUUCGGCCCUUUCUGCAACCAAACUUGUAGGUGUGUACAUGGUGUUUGUGACAAUCGGCCUGAAGCAAACGGAGCGUGUAAGCCACUCUCCUGUCAGCAAGGCAUCGUCGGAGAGCUGUGUGAUAAACAUGCGCUUCCCUGUGGGCCGAGCCGAAUGUGCCACAUCCAUGCCAACUGCAUCCUGGAACAAGGAGGACAGGAACAGUGUGUAUGUAAGCCUGGUUACAUGGGUGAUGGAUUUCAGUGCGUGCACGAAGACCCGUGUACAUGGAGUCUGAAUGGGGGCUGUGGUGACAAUGCAAGAUGUGUACAGCUUGGAAUGGGCAGACACAAGUGUGAAUGUCUGAGUGGGUGGAAAGAGGAUGGAGAUGAGUGUCAGCCUGUUAAUAACUGUUUGGAGCCGUCCAGAGGGGGGUGUCAUCCUAACGCCUCCUGUGUCUACAUGGGUCCUGGGCAGAAUGACUGUGUUUGCAAGCGAAAUUUCCGUGGCACUGGGAGAGAUUGUGAGCCUGUAAACCAGUGUGUAAACCUGAUGGGAGGAUGCCAUCAACUGGCCAGUUGUGUGAUGAUGUAUCCUGGAAAGUUUGAGUGUGUGUGUCAAACAGGCUACACAGGAGAUGGAAAGAUUUGCUACAGAUCUCUGGCAGAGGAACUGGAAAUCAAUCUUGACCUGAGUGGAUUCAAUACAUGGGUCACUAGAGCGGAUCUCACGCAGAUGAUGUUUGAGAGGCAGAACAUUACUCUUUUCGUGCCCUCAUUAUCAGCCAUCAACGCCAUGAGCAAAGAUGAUCAGGAUUUCUGGCUGUCCAGCAGCAACAUUCGAAGUCUGGUCAUGGGUCAUGUGGUGUCUGGGCUUUAUAGAUUAUCAGACCUGCGUAGCUCCCCCUCUCCCCAAUUGGUUUCUGAUUUAAGAGGAACACUUCCCGUUUCCUGGACCAAUGAGACCACAAUGGUUGCCAGAGCGACUAUUACAUCCGGAGACAUAGUCGCCAAGAACGGAUUCAUUCAUCUCAUCGAUAAAGUCCUAAUCUCUGAUCGUAAGCUGAGUACUGGUUUACUCGGGGUCCUGGACAAGAGACCGGAGUUCUCUCUCUUCAAGAAUGCUCUUAUAACAUACAACCUGAGUACAGAGAUAGAAGAGGCCUCUGGCUUUACCAUUUUUGCACCUACAGACAGCGCCAUAAGAGAAUACCUGAAGAGUACAGGCCAGGAUUCACUGGAUCUGAAUGUAACGCAGUACCACAUUGUCCUUGAUGAGACUCUGAAGCAGGCCGACUUGCAGGACGGUCUGUAUAAAGGCACUCUGCUGGGAUUCUCCUAUCAGCUGGGUAUAUUCAGCAACAACAACAACUGGUUUGUAAACAAGGAACAGAUGAAUGCUACAGAUAUUGAGACUGAUACAGGAGUGAUCCACGGAUUGUCUGCUGUCCUGAAGAUUCCUAAAAACCGCUGUGACACAGCCUCCAGCAGACGUUUUUGGGGAAAGUGUUUGGACUGCUUCCAUCCAGCUGAGCGUCGCUGUCCAGCUGGAACAAAUCAACUGAAGUUGUCACCAAAGAGAUGUAUAUUCACUCUGAGUAAAUACAUGCGGUUCACCGGCUGUGCGGCUUCCUGUGAAAGACGCAGCAUUAUAAGGAAGUGCUGUGAGGGAUUUUAUGGCACUGACUGUGAGGCCUGUCCAGGGCCUGAAGGCCGGGCAUGUUUUGAUAACGGUGUGUGUGUGGAUGGUAUCAAUGGCACUGGUGUGUGUCAAUGCAACCCUGGCUUUAAUGGCACAGCCUGCGAGAACUGCCAACCUGGCAAAUAUGGCAUCCAUUGUGAUCAAGACUGUAAGUGUGUAAAUGGCCGCUGUAAUGAUGGUCUGGAGGGAGACGGCAACUGUCAGUGUGAGGUGGGAUGGAGAGGAAUCUACUGCUCCAUAGGCAUAGCCAAUACCUCAGACUUGUGCAGAAGGAAGUGCCACACAAGUGCAAAUUGCCUGCUUAAAAUACCAGAUAAUUCAUAUUACUGUAGCUGUGCAGCUGGUUUUGAGGGGAACGGUACACACUGCACAGUGGUGGAUGCUUGUGCAAAUAAUAAUGGAGGCUGCUCUCCCAAUGCUGUAUGUAAGAGGACUCUUCCAGGACGCAGGCAAUGUGUGUGUAAUCCUGGCCAUGCCGGGGAUGGACAAGUGUGUGUGUCCAUCAAUCCGUGUCUGGUAGGCAAUGGAGGCUGUAGUAAUAGUUCAGAGUGUGUACACACAGGACCAAACAAGUCAGCAUGUGUGUGCCUGCCAGGAUACUCUAGAAAUGGAAAGACAUGUUCUCUCACCAAUUUGUGUAGAAAGAAAAAUGGAGGAUGCCACCAAUUUGCCAGGUGUACGAUGACAGGCCCAGGAGAGAGGAACUGCACUUGCACAUUGGAUUACAUUGGAGAUGGGAUAAAGUGCAAAGCCAACCUCAUGAGGGAGCUACGAAUAAGAGGUCUGACUGACUUCUACUACAGUUUGCAAAGAGCUGCCGUCUAUUAUCUUCAAUACCGUGGUCCAUACACUGUGUUUGCUCCUAAUAAUAAUGCUUUUCACAAACUGGAGAAUGAACACAAAGUAAAUAAACGGAAGAAUGCUGCGAUCCUGCAGUACCACAUAGUGCCAUGCCGGCGCCUCCUCCCAGAAGAUCUGCAGCAACCUCGCAACCUCACCACGCUCACUGGUGAAAUCCUCACCAUUUCGUAUUCAGAGGGUAUGAUACAGAUCAAUAACAAUGCCAAAGUGGUGUACAGCGAUCAAGAAAGUAGCAACGGGAUUUUCUACGAGAUUGACACUGUUCUGUUUCCACCCAGUUAUCAGCUGGAACAACUGGAUAAAGCAAAUUAUUCCCUCAAAGACAUAGCAGAUCAACAUGGGUUCAAGACUUUCUACAAACUGCUGGAAGAUACAGAGGUGAUGAAACAAAUACAGGAUCCUCUGCACCAGCCAGUCACUCUGUUCCUGCCGAUAGAUUCCACCAUGGCAGCUUUACCCCAAGCACAAAAGGACUUUCUGUAUGGCCUGCAUAACCGAGCUCAACUGGUGGAGUAUCUUAAGUACCACAUCCUUCGAGAUAAAAAGUUGCACUCUGCAGAGGUGAUGCAUUUUGAUUCACUCAAGACUCUUCAAGGCUCCGAUAUUUCUGUGAGCUGCGUUGGAGAAGACCACAUAGGGGCACUGUAUAUCAAUGACAAGAAUUGUCGAAUUGUAAAGUCGAAUCUGAAUUUCAACGAAGGCCUUGUUUAUGGUAUUGAUUGUUUUCUAACACCACCCAGCCUUGGAGGACGCUGUGAUAAGAUGGACAAUGUAGAAAUUACUAUGCCCUGCAAAUUUCUGUGCAGUGAUGAUUGCCCUGCAGUAACCAAACCAAAGACUACGCAGAAGUGUGACCUUCAAAGACACUUCUGGUCUGUAAAAUCAGGAUGCCAGUCGGUGUGCUCCCUGGUCAUAUGGAAUCCCAUGUGCUGCAAAGGCUACUAUGGCAGGGACUGUCUCGCCUGUCCUGGAGGGCCUGGAUCUCCGUGCAGUAACCAUGGGCAGUGCGAUGAUGGUCAUUUAGGAAACGGCACCUGCACAUGUGAUACAGAGUUUCAGGGUGUGGCCUGUGAACUGUGCAGUGAAGGCCACUUUGGACCUGACUGCAAAGCCUGUAACUGCACAGAGCAUGGAACAUGUAGUGAGGGUCGAGACGGAACAGGCUCCUGUUUCUGUGACGAGGGCUGGACUGGUCCACAAUGUGAACAUAAAUUAGCUGAUGGCCCUAUCUGUUUACCUGCAUGCCACAAGAAGGCGGUGUGUACCAAAAACAACACCUGUGUGUGUAAGCCGUUCUACGAGGGAGAUGGAAUCACCUGUACAGUAACGAAUAUGUGCCAGUUCUGGAAUGGUGGCUGUUCAAAAAAUGCCAAAUGUUCCCAGAAAGGAGAGAAAGUGAACUGCACAUGUCUGAAAGGCUACUCAGGGGAUGGAUAUGUCUGCUCAGCAGUGGACCCCUGUGUCAAAGAAGACAACGGAGGCUGCAAUGAGCAUGCACUCUGCACCAUGACUGGACCUGGGAAAAGAAAGUGUGAGUGUAAAACUAAUUAUGUUGGAGAUGGGCUGGCAUGUGAACUGAAGGUGCUUCCAGUGAACCGCUGUAUGUUGGAUAAUGGCCAAUGUCAUUUAGACGCACAGUGCACUGACCUGCACUACGAGGAUAAAACUCUUGGAGUCUUCCAUUACCGUUCUCCAUUGGGAACAUACAAGCUGAACUACACAGAGGCUCAGGAGGCCUGUAAGCAGGCAGGAGGCAUCAUUGCUACCUUUACACAGCUCUCAUAUGCACAGCAGGCUGGAUAUACCAUGUGCUCAGCCGGGUGGCUUGCAGAGAACCGGGUAGCUUAUCCCAUGAGUUACUCCAACCCUAAUUGUGGAUUUGGCCAUGUGGGCAUAGUGGACUAUGGCACGCAGACAGAUCUAAGUAAGACCUGGGACACAUUCUGUUACCGGGUAAAAGACGUAAAGUGUGAGUGUAAGAUCGGCUACAUGGGUGAUGGAUACACUUGCAUUGGCAACAUCCUACAGGUUCUCACCACCCAGCCCAACUUUUCCAACUUUCUUUCACAAAUCUUCAAUUAUUCCAGAGCUGCACCAAAAGGGCAAGAGUUUAUGAAGCGCCUCAGCAAUAUAACUACACUGUCCACUCUAUUUGUGCCUGAUAACAAUGGCCUCUAUGAGAACCAGACACUAUCCUACAGAGAUUUAGAGCACCACCUGAUAUAUGGGAGAGCUCUACUGCUGCAGGAUCUCAUUAACAUCAGUCAUGUUAAAUCAUAUCUGGGACACACCCUGAAUGUGAAAAGGGUUCCUAGUCUCCAAAACCC